rnacentral:rRNA from 1 species
GUAGGUGGCAAGCGUUGUCCGGAAUUAUUGGGCGUAAAGCGCGCGCAGGCGGUUCUUUAAGUCUGAUGUGAAAGCCCACGGGCUCUACCGUGGAGGGUCAUUGGAAACUGGAGAACUUGAGUACAGAAGAGGAAAGCGGAAUUCCACGUGUAGCGGUGAAAUGCGUAGAGAUGUGGAGGAACACCAGUGGCGAAGGCGGCUUUCUGGUCUGUAACUGACGCUGAGGCGCGAAAGCGUGGGGAGCAAACAGGAUUAGAUACCCUGGUAGUCCACGCCGUAAACGAUGAGUGCUAAGUGUUAGGGGGUUUCCGCCCCUUAGUGCUGCAGCUAACGCAUUAAGCACUCCGCCUGGGGAGUACGGCCGCAAGGCUG